AUACAAACCAGCUCACUGUAGCAGUUUUUUGAAAAUGAUGGGGUGGCAGGAUGCUACUGAUAAAGAAGAGAAGAAAGAUGGAUAAAUUCAGAAGUUCUUGGGAUCUUCUGUGGACAAUCAGUUACCUAUCUGAAAAAUACUAGCAGAGGGAUUUCCUUUGUGGAAAAGACAAUAUGUCUUGGGUUCUAUAUAUAUGUACUGAGAGGAAGUAUGCUCAUUUGGAUCUAGAUAUUCUUUACUGUUACCACAACUCUAUUAAUCUAAGGAUGGCAUAUAACAGGAGUAUCCUUUCCACACUCCAAAGAAGUAUACUUGCUGCAUACAUAUGUCAAUACUUAAUUCUUCCAGCCCAUCUUCAAUAUGAAUUAAAACUAUGGAUCUUUAAAGAAAGAGGGAAGAAAGUCUGUAUAUUUUUUUGAAUUGCCUAAAGCUGAGAACUACACCAAUUACAAAAUAUUUUCUUUCCACACCACUGAAAUAGAUUCAUUUUUUCUUAAUUUAAGAUUUUUCUUUAAUUUAAGAUUUCUUAGAUGGAAUUCAAUAAGAAUUAAUUUUUACUUAGAAAUGAUUCUAUGUCAAUACAGAACCAGUGAUGUGAGUUUUCUUAGAUACCAUGAAUACUCAUGUAAACUGCAUGUAAAACCAAUAUGCAAUAACUACAGAAAAAUGACAAAUAUGAAGAAUCUUAACAUUUCAUGUCAAAACUGUAUUUAUAUUACUGACAACUGAUCUGUCUAGAAUGGAACAGAAUAAGAGAGUGCUGUAUUUCUAGCAGAUAGGGAAAAUACAUAUCUGGAACAAAGA